GUAGGAAACCUUAAAUGUGAAGGUCGUUGAAUGCCAUUUGAUAGUUUGUCUGAUGAGCGCAGAUGUCGCUUACGUCGAAAUGUAUUAUUUUUACAGAGUCCUGUACAACUUAGCUGCCACAGUGUACUGUAUAGCUGUCAACUAAAAAUGGAAAUAGUGUAAGUGUGACAAUAAAUUUCGUUUAUUUGCACGAUGACGAGCACAUUAGCCAAAAAUACUUGUUCUGUAAAAGGCUGCGGAAAGCGAGAGCUACCGAUGUACCGUUUCCCCAAUCCAAAAACAAACGGGGAACGUUUUCGUAAGUGGGUUCUGGCAGCAAAUAAUCCUCGAUUCGAGCAACUAGGAGAUAAUGGUAUUUAUAAAAAGUGUUUCGUUUGCCACAACCAUUUUAAGGAAGAGGAUAAAAUCCUGAAUUCGCGUUUAUUAAGGAAAACUGCUGUGCCUUCGCAAAAUUUGCCGAUUGGUCCAUCGUUUGCCACAGAACAGGGAAUUGAUGCACCAUCACCUCCAAGACCAUCCCAAUCUGAGGAGGACCUAAUUUUUAGAACACCACAACGUGAACUCAUUUUUAUGCCCAGCUCGGUACGAAAACGUGUUACACCAUCA